AACGAACGCUGGCGGCAUGCCUAACACAUGCAAGUCGAACGAGACCUUCGGGUCUAGUGGCGCACGGGUGCGUAACGCGUGGGAACCUGCCCUUAGGUUCGGAAUAACUUCCCGAAAGGGGUGCUAAUACCGGAUAAUGUCUUCGGACCAAAGAUUUAUCGCCUUUGGAUGGGCCCGCGUUGGAUUAGCUAGUUGGUAGGGUAAAAGCCUACCAAGGCGACGAUCCAUAGCUGGUCUGAGAGGAUGAUCAGCGACACUGGGACUGAGACACGGCCCAGACUCGUACGGGAGGCGGGAGUGGGGAAUAUUGGAAAAUGGGCGACAGCCUGAUGCAGCAAUGCCGCGUGAGUGAUGAAGGCCGUAGGGUUGUAAAGCUCUUUUACCCGGGAUGGUAAUGACAGUACCGGGAGAAUAAGCUCCGGCUAACUACGUG
rnacentral:rRNA from 1 species